AUUGAACGCUGGCGGAAUGCUUUACACAUGCAAGUCGAACGGCAGCAUAGAGAGCUUGCUCUCUGAUGGCGAGUGGCGAACGGGUGAGUAAUAUAUCGGAACGUACCCAGUAAUGGGGGAUAACGAAUCGAAAGAUUCGCUAAUACCGCAUACGCCCUACGGGGGAAAGCGGGGGGUCGUAAGACCUCGCGGUAUUGGAGCGGCCGAUAUCUGAUUAGCUAGUUGGUGAGGUAAAGGCUCACCAAGGCGACGAUCAGUAGCUGGUCUGAGAGGACGACCAGCCACACUGGAACUGAGACACGGUCCAGACUCCUACGGGAGGCAGCAGUGGGGAAUUUUGGACAAUGGGGGCAACCCUGAUCCAGCCAUUCCGCGUGAGUGAAGAAGGCCUUCGGGUUGUAAAGCUCCUUCGCAAGGGAAGAAAACUUAUCUACUAAUACUAGGUGAGGCUGACGGUACCUUGAUAAGAAGCACCGGCUAACUACGUGCCAGCCGCCGCAGUAA
rnacentral:rRNA from 1 species